GUUGUGGCUCAGUGGUAGAGUGCUCACCUUGUAUGCAUGAGGCACUGGGUUCUAUCCUCAGCACCACA
rnacentral:tRNA from 1 species